rnacentral:rRNA from 1 species
GACGUAGGGCGCGAGCGUUGUCCGGAUUUAUUGGGCGUAAAGAGCUCGUAGGCGGCUUGUCGCGUCGUCCGUGAAAACCCGCGGCUUAACCGCGGGCUUGCAGUUGAUACGGGCAGGCUAGAGUGCGGGAGAGGAGAGUGGAAUUCCUGGUGUAGCGGUGAAAUGCGCAGAUAUCAGGAAGAACACCCGUGGCGAAGGCGGCUCUCUGGAACGCAACUGACGCUGAGACGCGAAAGCGUGGGGAGCAAACAGG